AAAUUUUAACAUAAGUCCUAACUCAAAGUUUAAUUUGUACCACUUCUGAUUCAACUUCAUGUUUCACUGAAACUCUUUCUUUAGGGAAUUUUACACUAUGAUUUUGCAGAUAUUUUCGCACUCGCUCCCCAUCAUUCAUUCUCACGGCAACAUCCCCAAGACGCCUGCUGGGGACGGUCAUGCCUCAGGCCGAGUGGGGCACAUGGAGGCAGGAGCAAGCUGCCAGCACCGUGUGGCGUGGCUCACGUCACUUCCACUCCUCUUCUCACACGUGCGAAGACUGGAGCACAAAAAGGCAAAGACGUGACAUUCCUAGGAAAGCCAGAACUCAUAGAGCGGGAAAAGGAACAAGGUCCACAUAUCAGGCUCCCAGAUUGUUCUGUUUUUUUGUGCACAUACACUAUCCAAACCCUACUCCUUACUGAUAACCUAACAUUCCAUCCCCUAAAAUCACACCCGGCACUUGAUCGCAUGCGCACGUGAACAGCGUCUCCUGGAAUGGCGUUCAAUACAAAAGCACAGUUUGGACUUUUGGAAGGAAGAAGUAAUAUCUCGCAGACAUCUCUGGGCUGGUGAGGGGUUGGAAUCACUCUCCCACGAACCAAGGAUCCUUACAAGAGACAGAGGUGGGGCGCGCGCACGCGCUGGUUGUUAAAGAUGCCCUCCCUGGCCCGCUUUCCCAGUUUCUUGAGUUACUCGCCGCCCGCAAGGCUUCGAUGUGCUCAGACGGCGUCAUCUCCUCUGUGACGACCGACCCCGGGCAUCCCCGUUUCCUUCUGCUAAAGUCCCUCCAGACCCGGUGCCGUUGCCUGUCUGCCCUGCUGUCCUCAGCGGUCACCCUGAACGGGGGUCUCUGAGGGGUCCCCGGGAGGCAGUGCGGUGUGGCAGGACAGGCCCAGCACUGGGGGCUCGUCCUGACUCUGCUCUGUGCUGCCGCCGGGCUCCCAGCGGGUCCCUCGGCUCCCCCGGCCUCCAUCUCUCCCUGAAGAGCCGGCGUCCUCUGCUCCUCUCUGCUCUGAGGCUGUUUUCCUAGGAGCCACCUGAAGUCUCCCGCAUUUACCGAUCACUGCGUCCUGCUAACUCAAAUCUCCUCCACCAGACGUGCAAAAGUUGUGGCUGCAGGAGCAAGUCUAGCCUGGAGAUGAGCAGAGAAAUGCUCGUCUGUGGAGACAGACCAGCACCUCGCCUUGAGAGCGCACCUUCACGAUACAAGCACCUUAUACAGGAACGGCACGUACGGCUGCGGAGAAGGAGACAAAGACUUCUGGCUCCUCACACGCCAAGUGUUUACAUUAUUCCCCAAAACAGUAAGGGGAGAGACACAAAAUUGAUCCUGGGAAAAUAUUUG
rnacentral:lncRNA from 1 species